UUUAACCGGCAGUGAUGAUCAUUUACAGCUUUUAAACGCCAGUUCUGCUUCAGAAAAUUCUUGAUUGAAAGAGCUGUCAUGUACUCUGAGCCUAAA